GAGAUUCAUUAUGUGGGAGUGACGUCUUAAGAAAGGAAACCCUAGGAUUGCAUUCUUAUGGAGUGGAGUAGAAUAUGUAUUGAUCUAUUUCAGGAAGAUUUGGGAAGGGAGAUUUUUAAUGUAGUUUAAAAAGUCUCUUAUACAAAUCAUGAUUGACAACUAUGAUCAAAUAUUUGGAAAUGAUGAUAUAUUUAGUAAACACAUUGACAAAAGGUCUGAAGACUUAAAGACAUACAAAGAAUCAAUAAAUUAUUCUGGAAAAUCUUCUAUUAUGACAAAAGCCAUAGCUGGACACAACUGGAAAACCAGUGAUAUUGAUGAAAAAUUU